CAGCCGCCGCGGGAAUACGAAGGGGGCUAGCGUUGCUCGGAAUUACUGGGCGUAAAGGGAGCGUAGGCGGAUCGUUUAGUCAGGGGUGAAAUCCCGGGGCUCAACCUCGGAACUGCCUUUGAUACUGGCGAUCUUGAGUAUGGGAGAGGUGUGUGGAACUCCGAGUGUAGAGGUGAAAUUCGUAGAUAUUCGGAAGAACACCAGUGGCGAAGGCGACACACUGGCCCAUUACUGACGCUGAGGCUCGAAAGCGUGGGGAGCAAACAGGAUUAGAUACCCCGGUAGUCCCUGUCUCUUAUAC
rnacentral:rRNA from 1 species